GGCUUCUCUCGGUUUGUCUGAUCGGCUCUGUCGAGCUAUAUAUCUAAUGUUGGACUCGAAAGACCGCCUCUAGUUCGGGGGAGUCUCAUAAAAUUCACAUAUAUCAAUAUGUAUGUUCAUUUUUCAACGAAUAGCUAGCUAUUUCAAAGCAAAUUUAAACACGGGAGAUAAAUUUAUGGUCUCCAGAAAUGAAGGUAAGAAAAGAAAAUUCGUUUUUUAGUUUCAUGUCAAAAGGAACAACAAAAGAAAAAAUAAACAGCAG
rnacentral:misc_RNA from 1 species